AUUGAACGCUGGCGGCAGGCCUAACACAUGCAAGUCGCACGAGUGGCGGACGGGUGAGUAAUGUAUGGGAAACUGCCUGAUGGAGGGGGAUAACUACGGGAAACGGUAGCUAAUACCGCAUACCAUCGGAUGUGCCCAGAUGGGAUUAGCAAGUAGGUGGGGUAAAGGCUCACCUAGUCGACGAUCCCUAGCUGGUCUGAGAGGAUGACCCGCCACACUGGAACUGAGACACGGUCCAGACUCCUACGGGAGGCAGCAGUGGGGAAUAUUGCACAAUGGGCGCAAGCCUGAUGCAGCCAGGCCGCGUGUAUGAAGAAGGCCUUCGGGUUGUAAAGUACUUUCAGCGGGGAGGCGUUACCCGCAGAAGAAGCACCGGCUAACUCCGUGCCAGCAGCCGCGGUAAUUC
rnacentral:rRNA from 1 species